rnacentral:tRNA from 2 species
GCACUCUUAGCUCAGUUGGUUAGAGCGUGCGAUUCACAUUCGCAAGGUCGGAGGUUCGAUCCCUCCAGAGUGCA